UUAAGCAGCAGCCAUGGGUACGCCAUUUUCUUUAGCUUUUCAUAUCUAACAUUCAUGAUUUAAUAGCUAGCUAGCUCUUAUUUUCUCUAUUGUUUUUCGUUAAUGGAAGGAUUUAAGUCUGGGAUCUGUUUAUUUGUUUUUGUAGAGUGAUGGGUUUUUCUUUGCUUUAUUUUUUUUCCUUUAUUUGAUUAAAUCUAGAAACUUAUUGAAGGUUUGGUUCUGACUUAUUAUUAGUUUCUCAUCUUUUUUAUAUAUUUUAUAACUAUAUUUGCCACAUUAAAAAAUUAGAUGGUAAGCGGUAGAAAUGGGC
rnacentral:lncRNA from 1 species